UCAACCCUCAAGCCCGGCUUGGUGUUGGAUCAGAGCCCUCCCCUGGCGGCGGGCUCGGUCCCAAAGACAAUGACGGCGUCUGUUGGACCCUCGGUGCAAUGAGCUUUAACCAGCACGCACUCGAGUUUGUAAAGGUCCUCCAGCCCGGUCUCCUUUUUUACUUUUACAA
rnacentral:misc_RNA from 2 species